rnacentral:rRNA from 1 species
AGUGAACGCUGGCGGCGUGCCUAAUACAUGCAAGUCGAACGGAGUGGCGCACGGGUGAGUAAGGUAUAGCUAAUCUGCCCUACACUAGAGGACAACAGUUGGAACCGACUGCUACUACUCUAUAGGGUAGGAUGGGGCUAUCUUGUAUCAGCUAGUUGGUGAGGUAAUGACUCACCCAGGCUAUGACGCAUAACUUGUCUGAGGGGAUGAUCAGUCACACCGUAAGUGAGACACGGUCCAAGCUCCUACGGAAGGAAGCAGUAGGUGUAAUCACGCAAUGUGGGAGUCCCUUAAGCGUCAUCGCAGCGUUGAGGAUUACAAUUUUCGAAGCGUAAGCUCCUUGUGUUAUGUAAGCGGUACCUAACGAAUAAGCACCGGCUAACUACGUGCCAGCAGCCGCGGUAAUUC